GAUGUUGGGUUAAGUCCCGCAACGAGCGCAACCCCUGUCCUAUGUUGCCAGCAUUAAGUUGGGGACUCAUAGGAGACUGCCGGUGACAAACCGGAGGAAGGUGGGGAUGACGUCAAGUCAUCAUGCCCCUUAUGUCCAGGGCUACACACGUGCUACAUUGGCCGAUACAGAGGGUUGCGAUGCCGCGAGGUGGAGCGAAUCCCAAAAAGUCGGUCUCGGUUCGGAUUGGAGGCUGCAAUUCGCCUCCAUGAAGGUGGAGUUGCUAGUAAUCGCGGAUCAGCAACGCCGCGGUGAAUACGUUCCCGGGCCUUGUACACACCGCCCGUCACAUCACGAAAGUGGACUGCACUAGAAGCCGGUACACUAACCCGCAAGGGAGGUAGCCGUCCAAGGUAUGGUUCAUGAUUGGGGUGAAGUCGUAACAAGGUAA
rnacentral:rRNA from 1 species